ACAAGGUCACAAUUUUAACAAAAAAAAAGAACUUACAAAGAAUAUAACAAACCCACAACCUGUGUUGUUAUUAAGUGAAAGGAAUAAAAAUGGUACCAACAACAACAAUAUACGAAAUAACAGUAUGCGAAAUAACAGUGUAAGAAAGAAUAGCGUACGAAAGAAUAGUGUACGUAACAAUCACAAUGUUAAUAAUAAAAUUCCAAGUAAAUCAAUUCCUCCUAAUUUACUAAUUACAAAUAACAAAAAGACACGAGAAGAGAAAAUAUAUUCUAAUGGAAUGUUCUUACUUAGCAAUAACACCAUCUCAAAAGAUAAACUACUGAUUGAAAAACAGUUAUACAAUAAUAAUGAAAAUAUAAAGAAAAACAAAUUUUUGCUUCGUGAUAAAAUCAUAAAAGAAAAUAAUACCAUCAAUUCUGUGACCAAUUCUGUGAACGAUUCUAUGUAUUUAAAAAAUAAUAAUACAAAUUCAAUAAAAGAUAUAUACAUAAACAAACACAAACAAUUAAAUAUAAAUAAAACCACUAGAAAUAUAACUACUAUUAAAAACACACAACUUUUAAAUCAUGAGAAAUACCAAAAAACGAAUAAAUUUAUAAAAAAAAAUGUAAACAAUGUAAACAAUGUAAACAAUGUAAACAAUGUAAACAAUGUAAACAAUGUAAACAAUGUAAACAACGUAAACAACGUAAACAAUGUAAACAACGUAAACAAUGAAAAAAUGUACAGUAAUUAUAGCCAUAUUUAUACUCCCAGUGCUUUAGAACAAAAAAAUAAAAGAAAUGUGAGCGAAACUGUUGUACAUAGUGGACAAAAGGUAUUACAAGUAAAACCAACGGUACAUAAAAUUAAAUCCCCCUUGCAACAUGGUUUACCUCCAACCGAACGCAACAUACAAAAAACACAACAAAUAAAUAUAAAUAAUAAUGGUAACUUCAAUCGAGACAAAAAUAACUAUCGCUAUCAGUCAGAGAAGAACAAAGUAAAUGUAAAAAGUACUAACAUACACAAUCAAACUAACCAAGUUAAUAAAAUAAUUAAAAAGCCAAUCAUUAAUCAAAAUAUAAAUAAUAACAAUGUAACGAGUAGUUUAAUUAAAAAAGUUGUUACUAAUGUAUCCACAAGUAUAAUUAACAAAUUGACAAGUCCUUUAUCGCGUUUUGCAAAAAAUAAUAAUAAUGAUAAUAAUAAUACAAAAAUAGUUCAACAUAAUAAAGAUGUAGUACAUUUAAAAAAAGAUAAAAAAAUUGAAUUUAAUAGGAUGAUAAAUAAAGAUAAUACGUUUAAAAUGGGUGUAAAAAACAAUCCCACUAAACAAAUAUAUAACAACAAUAAUAAUUCCCAAAAUAAACCUACUAUGUUAGGAGGUACAGUUAAUAAACAAAAUGAAAAAAUGGAUUCAAGUAAUUAUAUACAAAAACACCACAUUAAAUCGUUAGAAAAAUAUAAUAAGACUGCUGACAACAAUAGCGACAGUAAUAAUAACAGU
rnacentral:lncRNA from 1 species